GGCUCGGUGGUCUAGUGGUAUGAUUCUCGCUUAGGGUUCACCCUAUAGCAUCUGUUGCGAGAGGUCCCGGGUUCAAUCCCCGGCCGAGCCC
rnacentral:tRNA from 1 species